UAGGGAAUCUUCCACAAUGGGCGCGAGCCUGAUGGAGCAACGCCGCGUGUGUGAUGAAGGGUUUCGGCUCGUAAAACACUGUUGUAAGAGAAGAAUGACAUUGAGAGUAACUGUUCAAUGUGUGACGGUAUCUUACCAGAAGGAACGGCUAAAUACGUGCCGG
rnacentral:rRNA from 1 species